GAUGAACGCUGGCGGCGUGCCUAAUACAUGCAAGUCGAGCGAACAGACGAGGAGCUUGCUCCUCUGACGUUAGCGGCGGACGGGCGAGUAACACGUGGAUAACCUACCUAUAAGACUGGGAUAACUUCGGGAAACCGGGGCUAAUACCGGAUAAUAUAUUGAACCGCAUGGUUCAAUAGUGAAAGACGGUUUUGCUGUCACUUAUAGAUGGAUCCGCGCCGCAUUAGCUAGUUGGUAAGGUAACGGCUUACCAAGGCGACGAUGCGUAGCCGACCUGAGAGGGUGAUCGGCCACACUGGAACUGAGACACGGUCCAGACUCCUACGGGAGGCAGCAGUAGGGAAUCUUCCGCAAUGGGCGAAAGCCUGACGGAGCAACGCCGCGUGAGUGAUGAAGGUCUUCGGAUCGUAAAACUCUGUUAUUAGGGAAGAACAAAUGUGUAAGUAACUAUGCACGUCUUGACGGUACCUAAUCAGAAAGCCACGGCUAACUACGUG
rnacentral:rRNA from 1 species